rnacentral:rRNA from 1 species
CCGUGAGGGAAAGAUGAAAAGAACUUUGGAAAGAGAGUGAAACAGUACGUGAAAUUGCUGAAAGGGAAACGCUUGAGGUCAGUCGCGUCGGCCGGGGAUCAGCCUUGCUCUUUUGCUUGGUGUACUUCCCGGCCGACGGGCCAGCAUCAGUUUCGAUCGGCGGAAAAAGGCCAGGGGAAUGUGGCACCUUCGGGUGUGUUAUAGCCCCUGGUCAUAUACGUCGGUCGGGACUGAGGAACUCAGCACGCCGCAAGGCCGGGUCUUUGACCACGUUCGUGCUUAGGAUGCUGGCAUAAUGGCCUUAAGCGAC